GCCCGCGGAGCGCGGGCGGAGGGGGAGCCGGCGGAGCGCGAAGUACUUAAAAUAACUGCUUCUAAUAGCCUUUAAUACAGACAUUUUGGGUGUGGGGGCAUUACGUAAUCUCUCUCCGCCUUUCACCUGCCAUCUUCUCACCACAACACAACUGGCGAUGCCGUCCAGUGCAAGUUUCCUGCUUGGAACUCCAGCAUUCGGAGCAGCUCUGUGUUAAUGACCCAGAGGUACACCUGGAGCUUUUGGUGUUCGUCCUAAUCUCUUCUUCACAAAAUCCUUCCUGGCCCAACAGAAAACUCAGAAGACAUUUCCCAGUCUGCUCUCCCAACAUCAAGGCUGUCAUUAAAUUGUUAAUGUUC